UUGGACCAGGAUCUGCAACCCGAUGCCAGCAUCGUCGAUGGCGUCUCGCUUUCGCCGGUGGCGCCCAUGGUCUAGGCGCCCUUCCUGGUGGCGAGUACUAGUAUCGUUGGCGCCUUGGUGGUCGUAGCCUUCGCCUGCCAUGCCGCCGCCUCCGCUCGCAGCCACGCAACAUGGAACGCGCCGCCGGAGGAGAAGGUGGCCAGGGAGGAGGAGGGGCCGCUGGCGGGGAAGGGAGUGCUCUAGGCGUGCGCUCCAUGUCCCGGGGGCCGACGACAUCGGCGGGGGCAGGUAGGAGGAGGGGAAGAGCGGUAGCGACAAGGAUGGGGAGCGAGGAUCCGAC
rnacentral:lncRNA from 1 species